rnacentral:rRNA from 1 species
AUUGAACGCUGGCGGCAGGCCUAACACAUGCAAGUCGAACGAGUGGCGGACGGGUGAGUAAUGUCUGGGAAACUGCCUGAUGGAGGGGGAUAACUACUGGAAACGGUAGCUAAUACCGCAUACCCUCAGAUGUGCCCCGAUGGGAGUAGCUAGUGGGUGGGGUAACGGCUCACCUAGGCGACGAUCCCUAGCUGGUCUGAGAGGAUGACCAGCCACACUGGAACUGAGACACGGUAUAGACUCCUACGGGAGGCAGCAGUGGGGAAUAUUGCACAAUGGGCGCAAGCCUGAUGCAGCCAUGCCGCGUGUAUGAAGAAGGCCUUCGGGUUGUAAAGUACUUUCAGCGGGGAGGCGUUACCCGCAGAAGAAGCACCGGCUAACUCCGUGCCAGCAGCCGCGGUAAUAC